ensembl:lncRNA
GGGACGAGGUUCGGUUGUUAUUAGUAGCCCCGUUCUGGCCGGGCCGAGUAUGGUUCUCAGAUCAGAUCUCGCUCCUCAAUGGCUCUCUAUGGGAGAUUCCAGUCAGUAGAGAUCUACUCUCACAGGUGCAGGGUAUGAUAAUUCACCCCUGCCUGGAGUUGUGGAAACUGUGGGUGUGGCCCUUGAGGGGGCACAGCUCAUAGCAUCCGGUCUCUCAACCGAGGUUGUUGAGACCAUCCUCUAAUCCAGAGCUCCCUCAACGAGGAAACUGUACGCCAUGAGAUGAUAACUCUUCACCUCAUGGUGCAGAGACCGCUAGCUUGACCCAGCUAACUGCCCAGUUGGUACAGUUCUGGAGUUUUUACAAGCCAGGUUCUCUUCAGGGUUGACCCACUCCACUUUAAAAGUUUACGUGGCGGCCAUUGCGGCCUACCAUGUCCCCCUCAGUGGCCAGUCAGUGGGUAGACACCCCCUAGUGACACGUUUCCUCCACGGUGUGCUGAGGCUUAGGUCUCCAGUAUGGUCCCAUGUUCCCCCCUGGGACUUGGUUGUGGUGUUAGAGGCUCUCUGUAAAGCUCCAUUCGCGCCAAUUCAGGAGAUAUUGGGUAGACACCCCCUAGUGACACGUUUCCUCCGCGGUGCGCUGAGGCUGAGGCCUCCAGUACGGUCCCGUGUUCCCCCCUGGGACUUGGUUGUGGUAUUAGAGGCUCUCUGUAAAGCUCCAUUCGAGCCGAUUCAGGAGAUAUCAGACCGUUAUCCGACUGUAAAGUCGGCUUUCUUGCUGGCUAUUACGUCUCUAAAGAGAGUUGGAGACCUUCAGGCCCUCUCAGUGGCCCCUACUCAUCUCGACUUUGCGCCCAGCAUGGCUAAAGCAUUUUUAUACCCUCAAGCGGGUUAUAUUUCGAAGGUUCCCUCCAUCGCAACACAACCCAUAGUGCUGCAGGCCUUCUGUCCUACUCCCUUUCGGGAGCCUGACCAGAAGAAGCUUAAUUGUAUGUGUCCAGUUCGAGCGCUGGACACGUACAUCCACAGAGCUGCCAUGUGGAGAAGGACAGACCAACUGCUUGUGUGCUACGGUCCUCCCAAAAGGGGUCUACCUGCAACUAAGCAAACCCUCAGCCAGGCUAUCAACCUGGCUUAUGAGUCCUCUGACCUCCCCUCGCCGAUGGGAGUCAAGGCUCACUCCACUCGGGGUAUGGCGGCCUCCAAGGCCUUCUUAGCAGGUUUGUCGAUACAAGACCUCUGCAACGCUGCAGGAUGGUCCAAGCCCUCCACCUUUGUGAGGUUCUAUGGCCUAGCUAUGCAAGCCACUCUGGACUCUUCUGUUCUCUUGCCUUAGCUGUGCUGUUCGGAUACACACUAGGCAGGGAUGUGGAA